CGCGAGCAACGCCGCGUGCGGGAAGAAGGCCUCGGGUUGUAAACCGCUGUCAGGAGGGACUAUGGCCACUGGGUGAACAGCCUAGAGGGUGACGGUACCUCCAGAGGAAGCCCCGGCUAACUACGUGCCAGCAGCCGCGGUAAUACGUAGGGGGCUAGCGUUGUCCGGAAUCAUUGGGCGUAAAGCGCGUGUAGGCGGCUUGGCAAGUCCGAUGUGAAAGCUCGGGGCUCAACCCCGAGUCUGCAUUGGGAACUGCCUUGCUUGAGUCCGGAAGAGGAGACUGGAAUUCUGGUGUAGCGGUGAAAUGCGCAGAUAUCAGGAAGAACACCGGUGGCGAAGGCGGGUCUCUGGGACGGUACUGACGCUGAGACGCGAAAGCGUGGGGAGCAAACAGGAUUAAGAUCCCUGGUAGUCCACGCCGUAAACGAUGGGCACUAGGUGUGGAAGGUGUCGACUCCUUCCGUGCCGUA
rnacentral:rRNA from 1 species